AUCUCCUACUCACUUGAGCCUUCAUCAGAGCAUGGCUGUCCUGGUGCUGUUGCUCUGCUUGGUGACAUUUCCAAUCAGUGUCCUGUCCCAGGUGCAGCUGAAGGAGUCAGGACCUGUCCUGGUGCAAGCCUCAGAGACCCUGUCCCUCACCUGCACUGUCUCUGGGUUCUCAUUAACAAACUAUGGUGUAAUCUGGGUUCGACAGCCUCCAGGAAAGGGUCUGGAAUGGAUGGGAAUAAUAUGGAGGAAUGGAAACACAGAUUACAAUUCAGCUCUCAAAUCCCGACUGAGCAUCAACAGGGACACCUCCAAGAGUCAAGUUUUCCUAAAAAUGAACAGUCUGCAAACGGAUGACACAGCCAUUUACUACUGUACCAGAGACACAGUGAGGGAAGUCCAUUGUGAAUUUACACAAAAACUUCCCUACAGGGAUUCUUAG